rfam:Desulfacinum hydrothermale DSM 13146 genome assembly, contig: EJ40DRAFT_scaffold00007.7
UCGUGCUAGGCGGGGAGCUAGCGGUUCCCUGAACCCGAAAUCCGCUCAGCGGGGCUGAAUCCCCCUUCGAGGGCUCGUGCCAGGACGAUCCGUUUGGAACUGCAGCGUCGGUCGGACACCGCGCAACAGACGGAUGUGAACCCCGUCAGGUCCGGAAGGAAGCAGCGGUAAGCAUUGCGGUCUGUGUCGUGGUUUACUCUGACCAAGACCUGCAGGGACGGCGGAUCGACACCGACCGGUUCGACGAGGGGUGCACGG